GAUGAACGCUGGCGGCGUGCCUAAUACAUGCAAGUCGAGCGAACGGACGAGAAGCUUGCUUCUCUGAUGUUAGCGGCGGACGGGUGAGUAACACGUGGAUAACCUACCUAUAAGACUGGGAUAACUUCGGGAAACCGUAGCUAAUACCGGAUAAUAUUUUGAACCGCAUGGUUCAAAAGUGAAAGACAGUCUUGCUGUCACUUAUAGAUGGAUCCGCGCUGCAUUAGCUAGUUGGUAAGGUAACGGCUUACCAAGGCAACGAUGCAUAGCCGACCUGAGAGGGUGAUCGGCCACACUGGAACUGAGACACGGUCCAGACUCCUACGGGAGGCAGCAGUAGUGAAUCUUCCGCAAUGGGCGAAAGCCUGACGGAGCAACGCCGCGUGAGUGAUGAAGGUCUUCGGAUCGUAAAACUCUGUUAUUAGGGAAGAACAGAUGUGUAAGUAACUGUGCACAUCUUGACGGUACCUAAUCAGAAAGCCACGGCUAACUACGUG
rnacentral:rRNA from 1 species